rnacentral:rRNA from 1 species
GACGAACGCUGGCGGCGUGCUUAACACAUGCAAGUCGAACGAUGAAGCUGGAGCUUGCUCCGGUGGAUUAGUGGCGAACGGGUGAGUAACACGUGAGCAAUCUGCCCUUGACUCUGGGAUAACUGCGGGAAACUGUAGCUAAUACCGGAUACGAGACCUGAAGGCAUCUUCGGGUCUGGAAAGAAUUUCGGUCAAGGAUGAGCUCGCGGCCUAUCAGCUUGUUGGUGAGGUAAUGGCUCACCAAGGCGACGACGGGUAGCCGGCCUGAGAGGGUGACCGGCCACACUGGGACUGAGACACGGACCAGACUGCUACGGGAGGCAGCAGUGGGGAAUAUUGCACAAUGGGCGAAAGCCUGAUGCAGCAACGCCGCGUGAGGGAUGAAGGCCUUCGGGUUGUAAACCUCUUUUAGCAGGGAAGAAGCGAAAGUGACGGUACCUGCAGAAAAAGCACCGGCUAACUACGUGCCAGCCGCCGCGGUAA